GGCGGGCGUCGGACUGCGCGAACCGGCGGCAGAGGAUGAAGGCGAAGACCGUGGUGUCCUGGUGGCGGAGGGGGGUGGUCUUCCCCGUCAAGCGAGCUUGGCUCGCCGUCUCCUCCCGCGUGGAGACUCGGAAGCACGGGAAAGGGAUUCUUAAGCUCUAUGAUGAUGUGCAAAUGUGUGGCUACCAAGAUGUGCAGGUUAUGUGGGAGAUUCUGACCAAACCUGAGAUGGAGACACCAAAGAGGCUGAAGCAGAGGAAGGGAUCGAUAUGGCGACUGUCAUCCUGCUGCAGAAGAACAAGAUUCUCCCUGAUGCAAUGGAAACCUAUCAGUGAAACAGUAGAUGAGAAAGGUAAACAAAGCUUGGCUAUGUCAUGAGAUCAUAACAAGUAGAGAUUACUGUAGAGUCUUGCAAGACUCAGGUGUACCUGUACAUAUGAUAUCUAUCACAAACCUCUCCAUCAACUGAGGUGGAAGAAGGGUUUUAAGCUGUUGUCAA